CAAGACCGAAGUACAUGAUUCCAUGCUUCCAAGAAAAGCAUCUAGAGAGAGAAGUAGUGCCCGUACCGCAAACCGACACAGGUAGAUGAGGAGAGAAUCCUAAGGCCGGCGGAAGAAUUGCAGUUAAGGAACUAGGCAAAUUGACCCCGUAAGUUCGCGAGAAGGGGUGCCUGCGAGAGCAGGCCGCAGAGAAUAGGCCCAAGCAACUGUUUAGCAAAAACACAGGUCUCUGCUAAAGCGUAAGCUGAUGUAUAGGGGCUGACGCCUGCCCGGUGCUGGAAGGUUAAGGGGAACACUUAGCGCAAGCGAAGGUGUGAACUUAAGCCCCAGUAAACGGCGGCCGUAACAAUAACGGUCCUAAGGUAGCGAAAUUCCUUGUCAGGUAAGUUCUGACCCGCACGAAUGGCGUAAUGACUUGGGCACUGUCUCAACUGCAAAUCCGGCGAAGUUGUAGUGCGAGUGAAGAUGCUCGCUACCCGCGAUUGGACGGAAAGACCCCGUAGAGCUUCACUGUAGCUUAGCAUUGAAUUCCGGUAUUGUCUGUACAGGAUAGGUGGGAGACUGGGAAACUAGGGCGUCAGCCUUAGUGGAGUCAACCUUGGGAUACCACCCUGACAGUACUGGGGUUCUAACAGGACGCCAUGAAACUGGUGACUGGACAUUGUUAGGUGGGCAGUUUGACUGGGGCGGUCGCCUCCUAAAAAGUAACGGAGGCGCCCAAAGGUUCCCUCAGAACGGUCGGAAAUCGUUCGUAGAGUGCAAAGGCAGAAGGGAGCCUGACUGCGAGACCUACAAGUCGAGUAGGGACGAAAGUCGGGCUUAGUGAUCCGGUGGUACCUCGUGGGAGGGCCAUCGCUCAACGGAUAAAAGCUACCUCGGGGAUAACAGGCUGAUCUCCCCCAAGAGUCCACAUCGACGGGGAGGUUUGGCACCUCGAUGUCGGCUCGUCGCAUCCGGGGCUGUAGUAGGUCCCAAGGGUUGGGCUGUUCGCCCAUUAAAGCGGCACGCGAGCUGGGUUCAGAACGUCGUGAGACAGUUCGGUCCCUAUCCGUCGCGGGCGUAGGAAAUUUGAGAGGAGCUGUCCUUAGUACGAGAGGACCGGGAUGGACUGACCUCUGGUGCACCAGUUGUUCUGCCAAGAGCAUGGCUGGGUAGCUAAGUCGGGAAGGGAUAAACGCUGAAAGCAUCUAAGCGUGAAGCCCCCCUCAAGAUGAGAUUUCCCAUAGCAUAAGCUAGUAAGACCCCUUGAAGAACACAAGGUCGAUAGGUCAGAGGUGGAAGUGCGGUAACGUAUGUAGCUGACUGAUACUAAUAGGUCGAGGGCUUGUC
rnacentral:rRNA from 1 species